AGAGUUUGAUCAUGGCUCAGAACGAACGCUGGCGGCAUGCCUAACACAUGCAAGUCGAACGAGACCUUCGGGUCUAGUGGCGCACGGGUGCGUAACGCGUGGGAAUCUGCCCUUUGCUUCGGAAUAACAGUUAGAAAUGACUGCUAAUACCGGAUGAUGUCUUCGGACCAAAGAUUUAUCGGCAAAGGAUGAGCCCGCGUAGGAUUAGGUAGUUGGUGGGGUAAAGGCCUACCAAGCCGACGAUCCUUAGCUGGUCUGAGAGGAUGAUCAGCCACACUGGGACUGAGACGCGGCCCAGACUCCUACGGGAGGCAGCAGUGGGGAAUAUUGGACAAUGGGCGCAAGCCUGAUCCAGCAAUGCCGCGUGAGUGAUGAAGGCCUUCGGGUCGUAAAGCUCUUUACCAGGGAUGAUAAUGACAGUACCUGGAGAAUAAGCUCCGGCUAACUCCGUG
rnacentral:rRNA from 1 species